AAGGCUUCUCGGCCUUUUGGCUAAGAUCAAGUGUAAUAUCUUAAUUUAAAUUAGGGGUGGGCAACCUGUU